GGAUCGCGAAGGAGCAGGGUGGCCCCGCCCUUUCCGUAGAUAUCUCUAGAAAGCCGCGCAGGAGCCCGAAAACAAAGACUGCGCACGCGCGGCUACAGGGCCCGGGCAUUUUGCUGCGUCACCAGCCGCCGCCCGGCCUCACCACCCCUCGCUCGCACGCACGCACGUUCUUUCUCCGUCCUCGCGCCCCUUUUCCUACACUUUCCUCUUCUCCCCGGUCGAAGAGCCGCUCUCUUCGCGCGGUGCAUUCUGGGGAUCUAGGUCGAGCCCGCUGCCGCCGUCGCCUAAGGAGAGCGACUAGAGGCCGCGAUUGGGGAGAAAACGCCGGAGUCGCCAUCGGAGAGGAGCCGAUUCCCCAGCCGCCGCCGCCGGAGAGGCCCGCCCACCCGUUCGCCCGUCCCCCUGCCCCGUUCACAAUGCAGCCUGCUUCUGCAAAGUGGUACGAUCGAAGGGACUAUGUCUUCAUUGAAUUUUGUGUUGAAGACAGUAAAGAUGUUAAUGUAAAUUUUGAAAAAUCCAAACUUACUUUCAGUUGUCUUGGAGGAAGUGAUAAUUUUAAACAUUUAAAUGAAAUUGAUCUUUUUCACUGUAUUGAUCCAAAUGAUUCCAAGCAUAAAAGAACGGACAGAUCAAUUUUAUGUUGUUUACGAAAAGGAGAGUCUGGCCAAUCAUGGCCUAGGUUAACAAAAGAAAGGGCAAAGCUUAAUUGGCUUAGUGUGGACUUCAAUAAUUGGAAAGAUUGGGAAGAUGAUUCAGAUGAAGACAUGUCUAAUUUUGAUCGUUUCUCUGAGAUGAUGAACAACAUGGGUGGUGAUGAGGAUGUAGAUUUACCAGAAGUAGAUGGAGCAGAUGAUAGAGAAGAGGACAGUUGACGGAAGAAUUCAAAGGGUGUGCUAAAGUCUUACCAGGAAGCACACACCAAUUUUUACAGAAAGUUAGAUCUUCUGCUGUACAUCCAUUCUCCUUAGUAAGCCAGUAUACCUUAAUAAGUUCACUGAUUAAAUUCCUCUAUUCAAUAUAACUGUAUAUCUUUGCUACUUUAGUUAAAUAAAGUGCUUUGGCUUCUUCAGCUAAACUGCUUAGAUAAUAGGAUUAUUUGAUCAGCUUGGUAACUUUUUCUAUUUCUCAUUCUAUAGGAUUCACAAGACAGUGAUGAUGAAAAAAUGCCAGAUCUGGAGUAAGGAAUAUUGUCGUCGCCUGGAUUUUGAGAAAGAAAAUUACUUCUUCACAAGAUUUCAUAAUUGAGAAAAUUCCUGAGUUAUAGCUCUAAAGGCAGAUGCUGUAUUUGCCUCCUUUAACCCAUUUUUCAACCUGUUUUUCCCCCCUUUUUUAAAGGCUUCACUAAGGGUUGAUAAUAUACCAUUGUAUGGGGCAAAUUUAAGUCAGCUAAGGCACUAUCCUUAUGCAUGAACAUUUCCCAGACUUCCAUGAAGCUGUUGAGGUCCUAGGCAAUUGAUAACAGCAGUUGUGAUAAGUAAAAAUAUUUCACCUGUUCCUUUACUUUAUAAUAUAAUUACUGACACGAUAGGAAGCUCUCAGCUUAGGGAAAGAUAACUAAAUUUUAGGUUUUAGGAUAUGGACUCAAGAGUGGCUGAAACAAAUUGGCUGACAUCUUAAACUGAUAACCUGCCUUUCCUCUGGUGUACCCUACAGGAUUGUUACACUAAAGUUUAUUUUUCAAAAAAAUUACUGCAUAUUAUUGUAUGUAAGUGAUUACUUGUCAGUGUUCCAGAUGUAUCUUAGCUAAAACUAGUGAAUGCCCUUAACUUAGAUGGUUUUUGAAGCCUAUACAUUUGGUAUUGUUUGGCCCUUAAGCUUUUACAUCUCUUAGCAUGGAGGACGAAGAAAGCUGUACAUUGUUGCUUGAGAGUCUGUACAUUUAGACCAGAUUUGUAUUUGCACUGUCAGUAUGGCAAAUGAGUGAAAAAAUGUUAAUACACUAUUGGAUUUUUUUUAUUUUUUUUUUUAAUUCAGCUUAUCUGGCUGAAAACCUCAAUUUAUGUUCAUGACAGUGGGGAUUUUUUUAAAUGUCUACAUUCUUUCUAAUAAACUGUUGGAAGACUUCUUGGCUGUCCUUUUAAGUGUCUGGUUUACUGUAAAUUCAUGUAUUUACCAUUUACUGGAAUUUGAGUUUUUAUUUCUGAGGAAGAAUUUGGGGCUGUUUUUCUGUUUGGGGAAAAAAGAAGGCUUGCUGUAAUGUCACAGGAAACCUUUUAAAAGUUAAUCUGUAAUAGAAAAUUGUAGCUGAACUUUGCAGCGGCUGGAAAAGAAAGUGUUGUGAUUUGAUUGAAAUAAAACUAAAUCUGUUGUCCUCCUAAA